rnacentral:rRNA from 1 species
GCAAUCAACGUCGGCCGCAAGGUCGUCGUGCAGUUAUUGGAGCAAAACUGAAUCUAUUUGCUAACUCUGGAUAACUCUGCCUAUCGCACGGUCUAGUACCGGUGAAGUUUCUUACAAGUAUCUGCCCUAUCAACUAUCGUUGGUGAUGUAGUGGACCACCAUGGUAGUAACGGGUAACGGAGAAUCAGGGUUCGACUCCGGAGAGGGAGCCUUAGAAACGGCUACCAUGUCUAAGGAUAGCAGCAGGCACGAAAAUUACCCAAUACCAACUCGGUGAGGUAGUGACGAGAAAUAACGAGACUGUUCUCUCUGAGGUCGGUCAUCGGAAUGGCAAAAAUCCAGACACUUUAUGGAGUAUCUACGAGUGGGCAAGUCUGGUGCCAGCAGCCGCGGUAAUUCCAGCACUCGUAAGGUAUAGAAUUAGUGUUGCGUUUAAAAAGUUCGUAGUUGGAUUGUCAGACUGGAACGGGUCCGGACUUUGGUUCGGUACUCGUUUCCAGUUUUUUGUUCGUGUACGUGCGGCUGCCUUCGGGUGGACGUUGCGUUGCGAGCAGGAUUACUUUGAACGGCUUAAGUGCUCAAUGCGAGACUUAUGUCCGAAUACCGGUGCAUGGAAUAAUGGAACAAGGUUGCGGCCGAGUUUUUUUGGUUUUGUCGGCUGAGACAAUGGUUAACAGGAACAGCCGGGGGCAUUCGUAUCGCGGCGCGAGAGGUGAAAUUCGUGGACCGUCGCGAGACGACCUAAAGCGAAGGCAUUUGCCAAGAGUGUUUUCAUUAAUCAAGAACGAAAGUCAGAGGUUCGAAGGCGAUUAGAUACCGCCCUAGUUCUGACCGUAAACGAUGCCAACUAUCGAUCCGCUUGUGGAUAACAUUCAUGAGCGGGGAGGCCCCCGGAAACGAAAGUUUUUCGGCUACGGGGGAAGUAUGGUUGCAAAGCUGAAACUUAAAGGAAUUGACGGAAGGGCACCACCAGGAGUGGAGCUUGCGGCUUAAUUUGACUCAACACGGGAAACCUCACCCGGCCAGUACAUUGUAAGGAUUGACAGACCGAUAGCUCUUUCUUGAUUCGGUGAAUGGUGGUGCAUGGCCGUUCUUAGUUCGUGGAUUGAUUUGUCUGCUUUAUUGCGAUAACGAGCGAGACUUUGACUGUUAACUAGUGCACGUGUUGCCUCGCGCGUGGUCACUUCUUAAAGGAAUUGUUGGUUUUUAACCUAAAGAGAUUGAGCAAUAACAGGUCUGUGAUGCCCUUAGAUGUUCGGGGCCGCACGCGUGCUACAAUGGUGGUGGCAGCGUGAUUGUCCUUCUCCGAAAGGAGUUGGCAAACAGUUGAGAUAUUACUAUGGCUGGAAUUGAGUGUUGAAAUUUUCUCUCAUGAACGAGGAAUUCCAAGUAAAUGCGAGUCAUCAUCUUGCAUUGAUUACGUCCCUGCCCUUUGUACACACCGCCCGUCGCUGCCCGGGACUGAGUUAUUUCGAGAAACCUACGGACCGGGGCAUUUGCGAGUUUCGGCUUGCUGCGUUCUGGAAAGUAGUUUAAUCGCGAUGGUUGAACGGCAAACACAAAAAGUGGGAAAAAAAAAAACACAAUUCGCCGACCUUUGGAUCUAG